rnacentral:rRNA from 1 species
UGAGGGAAUAUUUGGGUCAAUGGACGGAAGUCUGAACCAGCCAAGUAGCGUGCAGGAUGACGGCCCUCCGGGUUGUAAACUGCUUUUAGUUGGGAAUAAACGGCGAGACGUGUCCCGCUUUGCGUGUACCAUCAGAAAAAGGACCGGCUAAUUCCGUGCCAGCAGCCGCGGUAAUACGGAAGGUCCGGGCGUUAUCCGGAUUUAUUGGGUUUAAAGGGAGCGCAGGCGGGCUUUUAAGUCAGUUGUGAAAUACGGCGGCUCAACCGUCGGACUGCAGUUGAUACUGGAAGCCUUGAGUUCACACAGGGAUGCCGGAAUUCAUGGUGUAGCGGUGAAAUGCUUAGAUAUUAGGAGGAACACCAGUGGCG